rnacentral:tRNA from 1 species
CGGGACGUAGGAAAGCUUGGAAUUCCGCGUGCUUCGGGAGCACGAGAGCGUGGGUUCAAAUCCCACCGUCCUGACUA